GGCGCCGGCGCAAGGCCUGAGCGGGGGGACCGGCGCUGCAGAGCCUUGGGAUUGGAGGAUUGAGCCUUCAGGGCUGCCGGCUUUGCUUUGUAGAAGCUAGAAUCUUCCACCUUAUUUUGUCACGGAUAUAAACAGCAGCUCCGUAAGGUACGUCACGUGCAGAUGUGACCUACCAGACGCUUCGGUCGGGUGUGAAUCAGGAGUAAAACCAGUCAAAUCAGUGGAGUGACAGCAGGUCACACUGGAAUCAGACACGUUAUGGUUUCUGAAAAUGUUGUUGAAUUAUUUGUUAAAAUUCACUGUGUACAUUUGAGGUUCUUGAAAGUGAUGAAGAGAGUCCCAGGAAGGAAUUUUCAUUAAAGUGAGCAACACAGAGAAGGAACAGAAGCAUGAACUACUCCGGUUUCAACAGAGACAAAAUA